GGUAUAGGUUUUUGUUGGAGACCGUAUGUUGACCUUUAGUUGUUCAAUACUGUGUCAUUUGGUCUGUUGUGGUGCGUUGUCUCGAACUCAAUAGCCAGUGUAUCAACUCCGAAUAUUUCCAAAUGGAAUAACUGUGUUUUACUAAAGCAAUAUAAAGAAGACACAAUGAAGAAUCUGAUGUUGAUUGUCUUAAUACUGUUCAUAACUAUAGAUACUGUCCAUCCAUGUCGUUGUAUUACGAAGUUGAGUCCAGUUUGCUCCACAAGGGGGAAAACGUUUAGAAAUUCGUGUUACCUAUUUUGUGCAAAAGGUCACACUUUAGCCUGCCAUCGUAAGUGUCCAUGUUAGUCGUAGCCCUUGUGAAAGUAAUUACGAAUGAGAAUGGACACCAAGUGAGAUGGAAUAGUAUAUUUAAUAUAUAUUGUAGAAUCAAAGAAUAAAACAAACUUUCACA